GGACUGCAAACCACACUCAUAUCAUAGGCUGCCAGCUGCCUGGGGCAGUCUCCAGCCCAGCAGGUUGUCUCCCCAGGAGUGGGGACAGCAGUGCCCAGACCGUGCUUUGCAUUCCUUGUGGUCAUCUUCUUGCGAGCCAGCAGACAUUCGAACUCCACCAACAUUAGAUUUUGUGGCGAGCUUGUAAUGUAAGUGUAACUGAGCCCUUUUGUGGUUUUGGCUUCAUUAAUGUUGCACUCUUUUUCAGAGGAUAAAAUAGCCUUCCUUCUCCAUCCUCUAAAAAUGAAGAGCUUGCUUUGGCUCUGACAAAUGUCUUCAGGAGCUCAGAAUGGAGAAGUAGAGUCCUCUCUUAGUGAAUCUCUCUCAGAAAAUCCUUUUGCAGCUGUGUAUUUCCACAUACACAUACGCAGACUUGCUUUUGGGUUUUUAUUUUUUACAAGGUGAUGAGAUUGGUCAGCCUUGUGAAAAAAACAUCAGACAUCUGUUCUUCAAAGCCCACAGUUCCUAGGAGCUUGCAGGGAAAACUCUCAAACUAGAAUAUAUCACACUUCUUGGUGACUCGGCAGGUCAGAGAGGUGUUUCAUCGGGACCAAACAGAGGAGCAGCCUGGCUGGGGAUCUCCCUGGGUUACUCCCCUGGCAGAAGCUGUUUUCCUUCUUGGGAGGUCUCGAAGCUUUGCUAGAGGCUGGUCUAGCAGCCAGCCCUGACGCUUCUGAUCUGCACUUUGCAACCAGAAAGUCUUACAACACCCCUGUGAGGUAG